rnacentral:rRNA from 1 species
CGGCGGACGGGUGAGUAAUGCCUAGGAAUCUGCCUGGUAGUGGGGGAUAACGUCCGGAAACGGGCGCUAAUACCGCAUACGUCCUGAGGGAGAAAGUGGGGGAUCUUCGGACCUCACGCUAUCAGAUGAGCCUAGGUCGGAUUAGCUAGUUGGUGGGGUAAAGGCCUACCAAGGCGACGAUCCGUAACUGGUCUGAGAGGAUGAUCAGUCACACUGGAACUGAGACACGGUCCAGACUCCUACGGGAGGCAGCAGUGGGGAAUAUUGGACAAUGGGCGAAAGCCUGAUCCAGCCAUGCCGCGUGUGUGAAGAAGGUCUUCGGAUUGUAAAGCACUCUAAGUUGGGAGGAAGGGCAGUAAGUUAAUACCUUGCUGUUUUGACGUUACCAACAGAAUAAGCACCGGCUAACUUCGUGCCAGCAGCCGCGGUAAUACGAAGGGUGCAAGCGUUAAUCGGAAUUACUGGGCGUAAAGCGCGCGUAGGUGGUUCAGCAAGUUGGAUGUGAAAUCCCCGGGCUCAACCUGGGAACUGCAUCCAAAACUACUGAGCUAGAGUACGGUAGAGGGUGGUGGAAUUUCCUGUGUAGCGGUGAAAUGCGUAGAUAUAGGAAGGAACACCAGUGGCGAAGGCGACCACCUGGACUGAUACUGACACUGAGGUGCGAAAGCGUGGGGAGCAAACAGGAUUAGAUANCCUGGUAGUCCACGCCGUAAACGAUGUCGACUAGCCGUUGG